rnacentral:RNase_P_RNA from 1 species
UGAAGGGGAGGAGAUGAUCGCCUCGGCGACCGUUUUUGCGAACGGGCUGCCGGGGAGGAAAGUCCGGGCUCCGAAGAGCAGGGUGCUGGCUAACGGCCAGGGGGGGCGACCCCACGGAAAGUGCCACAGAGAGCAGACCGCCCCGCCCGCGGGCGGGGUAAGGGUGAAAGGGUGCGGUAAGAGCGCACCAGUCCCGGUGGCGACAUCGGGAGCUAGGCAAACCCCACCCGGAGCAAGGCCAAAUAGGGAGGCGACGUCGUCCCGCCAGGUGACUGACGGGAGGGCGGAAGGGUGGCUCGCCCAAGCCUCCGGGUAGGCCGCUAGAGGCGUCGGGUAACCGGCGUCCCAGAGAAAUGAUCAUCCUCCCGGCCUGUUAGGCCGGAAGAACAGAACCCGGCUUACUACCCCCUUCAAUGC